rnacentral:lncRNA from 1 species
GAGGAGGAAGCCAAUGACGACAAGGAGAAAGCCAAAGAAGGAGUCAAAGGUCUUGAUGAGGAGCUGGUCGUGCAACGUCGAUCCCAAGAGCUUGGUAGCGGCCUGAACCAGUGGCGAGUCAGAGGAGACAUUUGGAGGCUUCAUUGAUCAAGUAUUGAGAAAGGUAUUAACAUUCUUUCUCUUUCAUUUGUGUUUGGAUAAUGCUCAAUAAAUUUAGGGUUUUUUUACGACAUACUUUAAAUGAAGGGGAAUUCUGAGUGCUCAAAUCUCAGGUUGUGUUUUGGGUGGCUGAGAUGGGAUAUCGCAGUAUUUCAUGGUUGGUUGUGUCUGAAAUAUUGUAUGAAGAUUUGAUGUGAUGAAAAUGGCCAAUGGUGUUGCAUGCGUUUUGAAAUUGGGUUUGUUUAGGUGAAAGUUAAGGAUGAUUGAGAAUCAUGAGCAAGUAGGCUUCUUUUGUGAUUGAAGUUUUGAAACAAAAAUUGUAUUGGUGUCUCGAGCUUGUUGACUGAGACCGAGGAAACUUGGCCGAGAUCAUGGAAGCUUGGCCGAGAUGAGGGAAAUCGUCACGGUCGGUCUGGUCGACCGAUCCAUACAUCCAUUAACGCUCAAACCAAGGUCAGUGAAGCUAAUCUGUCAUUAAGGAUUAGGUAAUACACCCAUAAAUGAGAUCCAUUCCACUAAUCAGGCCUAAUAAGGUAAGCCUAUUAAAAUAAUAUAAAUAGCACACAUCCCAAGGAGAAAGGUACGUCAUUUAUUACUGUGCACCUACCCGAAUACUGAUCAUCCGCUUUACUGACUUGAGCGUCGGAGUGCCUUCUGCAGGUACCUCCCAUUCGGUGUUCACCCGAGACCGAGAGCCGAAGGAGAAGCACGAAGACGAGAAGGACCCCAGUCAAGCACCCAGCAACCUGCCCGACCGAAGGAGGAAGACGAAGACUUCAAUAGUUUUCUAGGUCUCAUCUCCCUAGCAGGAACAAUUGGCACCCACCAUAGGGUCGAGAGAAACUAGCUGAAAAAAGAAAGUAGAUGGUCUCAACCAAAAGUAUGGAGAGAAUGACUGAAGCCGACCAAAAUAUGUUGUUGUUGUCUCUCCAGAGAGGGAUGGCCGAGAUGAAGAGAAAGACCGAGGAGACUGCUCAGAAGAAAGAGCAUGAGUUGCAAGUUCUCCGUAGGGAGAAGGAAAACAUGAAAAAGAAGCUGGGGGAGGGAGGACCCUCUACUGUACCGACCAAUGUUGUCGGCAGGUCCUACACCUCUCCCCCCAACCCAAGACCGGCCGAAGGGACGAGGGACAGACUCCCUCCCCAGGAGACCAAGAUGGACGACUAGUCAUGCCUGGUCAGGUUCGCCCGGACGACCUUGACGGCCGACUCGACCUGCCGACAUCCUUUUACCAACACCAUUAUUGAAGUUCCACUGCCUGACAAGUGGAAGGGUUUCAACUGAGACCGAUAUGACGGAUCGAUCGAUCCCGAUGAGCAUAUGGACGCUUACACCACCCAUAUGAGUCUCUACACAUCAGACGAUGCAGUUUUGUACCGAGUGUUUCCCACAUCACUGAAGGGAGCAGCCCUCAGCUGGUUUACCAAGCUCUCACCCAACUCCAUUGACAGCUUUGCCACCCUCGUGACGAAGUUUGAGACCCAGUUUGCCACUAGCCGAUCGCACCAUCCAACUUCCAUUGCCCUGGUGGGCAUCCGCCAGGAGAAUGGAGAGUCCCUGAGAACCUUUUUUGAUAGGUUCAGCAAGGUGGCAUUGAGCAUCCAGAAUCUGAGUCCGGACGUUGCCAUGCAUCACAUGUUGACAACCCUACGUCCAGGGCCCUUUGCUGACAACCUGUGCAUGCAGUCGGUCGACAACCUGGACGAGCUGAGGAAGAGAGCUGCUAAGUAAAUGCAGUUGGAAGAACUCAGAGAGUUUCGUAACCAGGCCUGUGCCGAGGCAAGUGGAGAGAAGAACAAGGAGGAGAAAGACCGUCAGGGCCGACCAAGUCAAAGGAAUGACAGACGCAGAGACAACCGGGACCGACCAAUCCGGUUCUCGAGAUACACACCCCUGAUGGCCGAGAGGGGAAGGAUUCUGGACGAGGCUCUCAACGCUGAGUUGAUCCCUCUUCCAAGGAAAGUGGCCAGCCUAAACAAUGCCGACCCAAGGAAGCAGUGUCGGUACCAUCAAAACAGCGGGCACUCGACCGAGGAGUGUCAGGCUCUGAAGGAUAAGAUCGAGGAACUUAUCCAGGCUGGGCACCUCCGUCGAUUCGUCAGGAACGGCUGAGACCCACCCCAUCGGGCAGAACCCCCUAGGCGAACGAGAUCACAAGACGAUCGACAACCUAGGAGGGACGAUCCUCCCCGCAGGGAUGACCCUCUCAGGGAGGCCGACAAAAGAGGUAAUCAAUAGGUUAUCAACACCAUAGCCGGCGGCUUCGCUGAGGGAGGGAGCACCAACAACGCCCAGAAGAAACACUUGCGGGCGGUGCACUAGGUGAACAUGGUGACAUUCCGACCAAGGAUGCCACCCAUCACCUUCAUGGACGAGGACUUCAAGGGCAUGGAUUAUCGCCAACAGGACGACCCGAUGGUAAUAUCGGUCGAUAUAGACCAAUUCACCAUUCGGAAGACCCUGGUGGACCAAGGAAGUUCAGUAGUCAUCCUCUACUGGAAAACAUUCAAGGCCAUGAGGAUGGCCGAGACCGAGAUGAUGCCUUACGACGACCAUGUAGUAGCGUUCUCGGGUGAGAGGGUGGGUACCAAGGGUUACAUUGAGCUCUACACCACCUUCGGCGAGGGGAAGAACACCAAGACUAUAAAGAUCCAUCUGGUCAUUGAUGCUAAUACCUCCUAUAACAUCCUCCUCGGUCGACCGUCCAUCAACCGGCUGAUGGUCAUCGUAUCGAUCCCUCACCUGGCAAUGUAGUUCCCUUCGAAAACGAAAGACAUCCUUAUGGUCCACGUAAACCAGAAGGAGGCACGAGAGUGCUAUGCCAAGAGAAAGUCCUCCCGAAAGGACCGCUCACCCAGGGAGGCCCGACCGAUGUCAGUCGAGCCAACCGUUGCGUUGGUAGACCUCGACCCCCGGGCGACCGAGGAUAGACUGAAGGCAAGAGAAGAGAUGAGGAGGGUACCCCUCCUAGACGAAGAACACAACACCGCCAUAGGGACAACCAUGGCUGCGGCCGAGGCUGAGAUCAUGCACGCCACGCUAAAGAAAAAUAUGGACAUGUUCGCAUGGACACCGGCCGACAUGUCGGGGGUGAGCCCAGACGUCAUCACCCAUCGACUGUCGAUAUUUAAAGAAGUCCGACCGAUCUCCUAAAAGAAAAGGGACCUGGGCAAUGAAAAAUGCCUAGCAGCAAAAGCAGAGGCCAAGAAGCUUUUGUCGGCCGAAUUCAUACAAAAGGCCUGAUACACGACUUGGCUUGCUAAUGUCGUCAUGGUCACCAAGCCGAACGACAACUGGAGGAUGUGCGUCGACUACAGAAACCUCAACAACGCAUGUCCGAAGGAUACCUAUCACCUCCCAAAUAUCGACCGCCUGGUGGAUGGGGCGACCGACCAUAAAAUUUUGAGCUUCCUGGACGCUUACUUUGGCUAUAACCAGAUAAGCAUGCACCCCAGGGACAAGGAGAAGACGACCUUCAUGAAGGCUGAUGCCAACUACUACUACGAGGUCAUGUCGUUCAGCCUCAAGAAUGUGGGGGCGACCUACCAGUGCCUCAUGGACAAAAUCUUCAAAGGCCUAGUCGGCCGGGCGGUAGAGGUAUAUGUGGACGACAUAGUCGUAAAAUCCGACUCUUUCGAAAAGCAUCUGAAGGACCUCGACGAGGUGUACAAGGCCCCCAGGGGGGUUAAAAUGAAGCUCAACCCUGAGAAGUGUACAUUCGGGGUUGAGGGAGGGAAGUUUAUGGGCUUCAUGCUCACCCACCGGGGGAUAGAGGCCAACCCGGACAAAUGUCAAGCCAUACUUGGCAUGAGAAGUUUGAAGAACAUCAAGGAGGUAAAACAACUCCUAAGGCGCCUGACCGCUCUCUCCAGGUUUGUCCCCCGUUUGGCCGAGAAGACGAGACCGAUGGUCCAGCUGCUUCGGAAGGCCACCAAAUUCAGCUGCGACGACCGAUGUGAAGAAAACUUCAAACAGUUCAAGGAGUUCCUGACAUCCCCAGCUGUCAUCCAAAAGCCAAGACCCGACCACCCAAUCUUGGUGUAUCUGGCGGUCUCGGAGGAAGCAGUCAGUGCUGCUUUGAUGCAGGAGGCCGAGGGCGAGGAACGACCAGUAUACUUCGUUAGCUGAACCCUCCACGCGGCCGAGACGAGAUACCAGAUGAUUGAGAAGGUGGCUCUCGCCUUAGUCCUCACAGCAAGACGAAUGUGCCCUUACUUCCAAAACCACUCAAUAAUUGUAAGGACCGACUAUCCCAUUUUCAAAAUUUUAUCUAAAUCGAACCUUGCAGGGAGAAUGAUAGGUUGGUCUAUCGAACUGUCUGAGUUCGACAUACACUAUGAACCGAGUGGCAACAUCAAAUCUUAGUGUCUGGCCGACUUCUCGGCCGAACUGACACCAAUGCCCACCCUCUCAGGCGGAUGGACGCUCUACGUGGACGACUCAUCAAACAAAACGACCUAUGGAGCAGGAGUCGUCCUGGAAGGGUCGGGCGACCUCCUCCUGGAACAAGCACUCCAGUUCGGGUUCCGGGCGACCAACAACCAGGCCGAGUACGAGGUCUUGCUCGCUGGGCUGAACCUAGCCUACGACAUGGGAGCACGUGAGGUUACGUGCAAAAGCGACUCCCAGGUAAUGGUCGACCAGGUCAAUGGAGAAUUCGAGGUGAAGGAGCCUAUACUGCAACAAUACUACCAUGCGGCCAAAAAGAAUAUUGCCCGUUUCAACAAAGCACCCUUGGAACACGCACCGAGGGAGAACAAUAAAAGGGCCGACAUCUUGUCUAAGUUGUCGGUCACCAAGAAGAAGAGCCACCAGAGAUCAGUCAUACAGAUAUGGCUGACGCACCCCAGUGUGUCCGAGAUCGAAUGUCUUGCAAUAGACGAGGUCGAGGCCGAGACAAAUAACUGGAUGACACCCAUCAUCCAGUAUUUGAAGGACAACACAUGCAAGCCAGAGCAAGAAAAAGCAAUGAAACAAUAGUGUGCCUGGUACACCAUGAUCAAUGAAGACUUGUAUCGAAGAGGAUACUCAACCCCCUACUGAAGUGCAUCACCAGCAAACGGGCCGAGUACAUUCUGGCCAAGAUCCAUGAGGGAGUUUGUGGAAAUCAUUAUGGGGCGAGGACGAUGGACGCUAAGGUCCUGUGGGUCGGCUACUACUGGCCGACCGUCCAGGGUGACUGUGCCGAGUACGUGAAGAAAUGUGCCAAGUGCCAGGAGUUCGACCCUCUCCAUCACACAAGGCCGAAAGAACUGUAUAGUAUUAUCUCCCCAUGGUCGUUCGCCAUUUGGGGGAUGGACAUUAUCGACCCCUUCGCACCAGGAAAAGGGCAGACCAAGUUCCUCCUCGUGGGAGUCGACUACUUCACCAAAUGGAUCGAGGUCGAACCCCUUGCAUCCAUCUCAGCCAAAAACGUGCAAAACUUCGUAUGGAGGAGCAUUAUUUGCCGAUUUGGCGUCCCGCACACAAUAAUAACUGAUAAUGGCUGACAGUUUAUUGACCAAGGCCUACAGUCCUUUUAUGACGACUUGGGCAUCAAGUUUGUUACAGCCUCGGUAGAACACCCGCAAACCAACGGGCAGGCCGAGGCCGCCAACAAGGUCUUACUCAAUGAACUGAAAAAGCGUCUGGGCAAGGCAAAAGGCAAGGCCAUGAUCCCGGUCGAGGUGGUCGAGCCCACCAUACGAAGGCAGAUGUUCGACCUCACCCUAAAUGAGUGAUAUGAGUUGGAUUGAGCAUAGACACUUUUAAACUCUUGAACACAACAUUAUAUGAGAAUGAAAACAACAAUUCAAGGAUCAAAGAGUGCUUAAACAAUGAAAACGAAAUUACAUCAACAAAACACAAGCUGAAAACAGAAAUGGAAUCAAGGAAGCUUAAGGAGUCAACAAUGGAGACAUAGCCUUCCAAAAUGAUGAUCCAAACUCAAUAAGAGAGCUAUCUCCUUGUAAACAUCCAUGGAACAAGAAUAUUAAACACAAAUGAAUUAAAAACAGAAGGUACCGAACAGAAAAAUGAAGAACAGCACAAGGAACACAAGAACAAUCGGUGGAAAGGAGAAGAACACCAAAGAGAAGAUAAACUACCGAAUGAAAUUGCAAAAGAAGAUGAAAGGAAUGACACUUAUGGAAUGAAGCUCGGCUGGAAUGAGAAUUUGGAACUGCAUCACGCCACUUGGAGUCCUUGUUCCAAGAUAAGUGAAAGGAAGCCGCCACUUGAAGCUCUCCAAUGGCACACAAGAUAAGGCUAUGGAAGAAGGAGAAACCAAAACUCACAAUUCUCUCUCAAUUUGAGUAGAGUUUCUCUAUAUCCAAUUUCCAAUUCUGAAUUUUACAAGAGCCCACACCUCUAUUUAUAGUGUGAGGGUGCUGAAAAAUAGGUGGGAAAAUUCAAAUAAAACUCAUUUGAAAUUCCCACCAAAAACAAGUCACAUGGGAUGUGUGACCUUUUUCUACUAUGACACCUACUAAAAACUACACGUACACCUACUCUCCUAAGUCACAUGGACAAUGUGACUUUAUUUUACAUAUUCACACUCCUUUAUUUAAUAUCCACACCNNNNNNNNNNNNNNNNNNNNNNNNNNNNNNNNNNNNNNNNNNNNNNNNNNNNNNNNNNNNNNNNNNNNNNNNNNNNNNNNNNNNNNNNNNNNNNNNNNNNNNNNNCUUGGGCUUUGGGCUUGGGCCUCAUAUUUUGCAAAGACUAAUAAGAAGAACUUUAAAUGCUUUGGCCCUUGUCCAUUUCUUCUAUUGAUAACAUCUUUUUGAUUCUCAUCAUACUCCCUAAGUUGGAGAGAAUUCGUCCACGAAUUCAGUACUCCUGCAUAAAACAAAGUCAGUUUGCUAUUAGAUAAGAGAAUACAAGAAGAAAUAGGCAAAUAUGACUUAUCACUUUGAAAUGUUGGGAGUUCAAAAAAAAGAUGUUCUAUACACAGACCAUGUUGGAAAAGAUUGUUUAAAAAUGAUUUUAUUUGGAAAACUAGAAUGUAUGAAAAAAUCAUCCUUAACAUUCUUUAUCCAAUAUGGUGUAUAAGUAGGAACCUUGGGUAAUGAAAAAGAUAAGGAAGGAAAACACCUUGGAGGUAAAGGGAUGAGGCCUAAUUUAUCUUGUCCUUCUCUUUCUCUUUCAUUUUCGCUUUUGUUGUUUAUGGUAAGUUGGUCUUGUUUUACCUCAUUUAACUUUGUUGGUUGUUUAUUUGGACAAUUGACAGCUAUAUGCUCAAAACUUAAACAUUUAAAACAUUUGGUUUUUAAAGUUUUGGUGGAUGACUUAGGGGUAGAAGGAUUUUGGGUAGAAACUUUUUGGGAAGAAGUGGUUUCUUUGCAAAAAUUUGAAGGAGAAUUUUGAGUAGAAACUUUGGUUGCAUCCUUCCUAGAAGAGUUGUAGAAACUAUCAUCAUGAGUAUUUUUGAAAGUUGUUUUCAAAAGGUGUGAUUCUACCUUGAUGGCUAAGUGACAAGAGCAGGAUUCGGGAGGCCACCUGCAAGAUCCGGGCGUCAAGGCGAUACAACACAAAAGUCCGGCAGAGGAGCUUCCAAAAGGGCGACCUUGUCUGGAGGAUGUGUAGUGAUGCGAGAAAAAAUGAAGGGAAGUUUUCGUCCAAUUGGGAGGGACCUUUUCGAGUUCGAGAAGUCGCAAAGGGGGGAGUUUAUCACUUAGAGUGGCUUUCGGGCAAAAUUGUACCGAGGACAUGGAAUGCCACGCACCUCAAGUUUUAUUACAACUGAAUUUAAUAAAGUCACACACUCUUUCCCCACCCUACCAGGGAGACGAGGUGUUUUCAUCAAAGUACUAGCACUGCUCUCCUGCAACCCAUUGGCUCGGUCUGGAUGAAGCCUUAACCGGUAUACCUUGCCGAUACUGAUCAACCAGGUUUGGUCUGGAUGAAGCCUUAACCGGAAUACCCUGCCGAGACCGAUCAACUAGGUUUAGUCUGGACGAAGGCUUAAACGGCAUACCCUGCCAACACCUCUCACUCGUGUGGUUGUCUCGUUCCCCGAGGUGUGACGUGACCUCAGGUGGCGUGAUGUGACUGACAUUAAUGAGGGGGUUUUCAGGCGGGAAGCGUUGUGGACUGUUGGAUCAAGAAGAUCUAACGGUUGAGAUGGAUCUGACGUUUCGAAUUUCGAGGUCGCUAGCUCCUAUAAAUAGUGAUCUCAACAGUGCCGAGCCGCUGUGCUUUUCAAUUGUGAGUUUGUCUGAUAGUCGAGCGUUCUCUCGUCCAUAGCUUUGCGAUCCGAGUGACUUCUCGCCCUCCUUUAUUAGACUUAGUCUCGUCCAAUUUUCACAAGGUUAGUUAUGUCGACCUUGUCUCAGCCUACGUCCUCUUCCUCUGGUCACCCUUCCUCUCCUCUCGGUCGCCCCUCUCUUCCCCUUGGACCUUCUUCUUCUUCCUCUUCUUCAACUUCUUCUUCUUCUUCUUCAUCUACCACCGACUCCUUGUCGGUCGGGGUGGCCGAGGUGCCACCCCUGGUAGAGGUAGUUAAGGGUGACGAUCCGACCAAUGUUGUUGAUUGGUUGGACUCUCCCCCGAUGACCAUUUCUCUCGUGGACCUUAGAUGGAUGGACCCCCGACAUGUACACUUGUCUCUUCUCGGACCUACAUGUCUCCUUUCCUUUUGAUAAAUUCACCAUGGGCGUCCUUCGGGCGCUCAACAUGGCUCUCACCCAUAUCCAUCCAAAUACCUGGGCAUCCCUCCAGGCCUUUCGCCUAUUGUGCGAUGUUAUGCGCCUUCAUCCCACUCCCUCUUCUUUUCUUUCUUAUCAUUCUGUUUCCUCCAAGGCCGGAGUGUGGCCUCCUCCUUUUGCAGUUAUCAAUGUAUCGCCCUUCCCUUUUGUAUUUAAGAAGAAUUUUCACAAGUUAAAAGUAUCGGUCUUUAUUUACAAGUGGUUGUUGGCCAUUUCUUAAUCGAAUAAAUUGAAUGGGCGGUCGGCCAUUAAUUGUGAUUGCGUUAAUCGAACAAGUUAAAAUGGGCGGUCGACCGUUAACUGUGAAUGCUUAAUCGAACAAAUUAAAUGGGCGGUCGACCAUUAGUUGUGAAUGCUUAAUUGAACAAGUUAAAUGAGCAGUCGGCCAUGAAUUGUGAAUGAUUAAUCGAACAAGUUAAAUGGGCGGUCGGCCAUUAAUUGUGAUUGCUUUCAAUCAAACAGGUUGAAUGGUCAGUCGGCCAUUUACUGUGAUUGCUUUAAAUCGAACAAGUUGGAUGGUCGGUCGACCAUUUACAGUGAUUGCUUUUAAUCAAACAAAUUGAAUGGUCGAUCAGCCAUUAAUUGUGAUUGCGUUGAUCGAACAAGUUGAAUGGUCAGUCGACCAUUCAUUGUGAAAGCUUAAUCGAACAAGUUAAAUGGGCGAUCGGCCAUUAAUUGUGAUUGCUUUCAAUCGAACAAGUUGAAUGGUCGGUCGACCAUUUACUGUGAUUGCUUUUAAUCGAACAAAUUGAAUGGUCGGUUGGUCAUUAAUUGUGAUUGCGUUGAUCGAAUAAGUUGAAUGGUCGGUCGGCCAAUUACUAUGUGAGUUUACUUGUGCCAAGUUAUAAGUUUGACUUGGGUGUGUCGGUCGGUCUCGGCAGGGUAUGCCGAUUAAGGCUUCAUCCAGACCGAGCCGAGUGAGAGGUGUUGGCAGGGUAUGCCGUUUAAGGAUUCGUCCGGACCAAACCUAGUUCAUCAGUCUCGGCAGGGUAUGCCGGUUAAGGCUUCAUCUAGACCGAGCCGAUGGGUUGCAGGAGAGCAGUGCUAGUACUUUGAUGAAAAUGCCUCGUCAAAACCUCCCUGGUAAGGUGGGGAAAGAGUGCGUGACUUUAUUAAAUUCAGCUGUAAUAAAACUUGAGGUGCGUGGCAUUCCACGUCCUCGGUACAAUUUUGCCCGAAAGCCACUCUAAGUGAUAAACUCCCCCCUUUGCGACUUCUCGGACUCGGAAAGGUCCCUCCUAGUUGGACGAAAACUUCCCUUCAUUUUUUCUCGCAUUGUUGUGCAUCCUCCAGACAAGGUCGCCCUUCUGGAAGCUCCUCGACCGGACUUUUGUGUUGUAUCGCCUUGACACCCGAAUCUUGCAGGCGGCCUCCCGAAUCCUGCUCUUGUCACGAAAUUCACUUACCAAAUCGAGGUUGACCGCUAGGCUUUCCUCGUUUAGGGUGCGGUCGAACAUCUGCCUUCGUAUGGUGGGCUCAACCACCUCGACCGGGAUCAUGGCUUCGACCCCAUAUGUCAUGCUGUAGGGUGUCUCCUGCGUGGUAGUCUGGGGGGUGCAUCUGUACGCCCAGAGUACUUCUAUCAGCUCCUCUGUCCAUCGGCCUUUUGCCUUGCCCAGACGCUUUUUCAGUUCAUUGAGUAUGACCUUGUUGGCGGCCUCGACCUGCCCGUUGGUUUGCUGGUGUUCUACUGAGGCUGUAACAGACUUGAUGCUCAGGUUGUCAUAAAAGGACUGCAGGCCUCGGUCAAUAAACUAUCGGCCAUUAUCAGUUAUUAUUGUGUGUGGGACGCCGAAUCGGCAAACAAUGCUCCUCCAUACGAAGUUUUGCACGUUUUUGGCCGAGAUAGAUACAAGGGGUUCGACCUCAAUCCAUUUGGUGAAGUAGUGGACUCCCACGAGGAGGAACUUGGUCUGCCCUUUUCCUGGUGUAAAGGGGCCGAUAAUGUCCAUCCCCUAAAUGGCGAACGGUCAUAGGGAGAUAAUACUAUACAGCUCUUCCGGCCUUGUGUGAUGGAGAGGGCCGAACUCCUGGCACUUGGCACAUUUCUUCACGAACUCGGCACAAUCACCUUGGACGGUCGGCCAGUAGUAGCCGGCCCUCAGGACCUUAGCGGCCAUCGUCCUCGCCCCAGAAUGAUUUUCACAGACUCCCUCGUGGAUCUCGGCCAGAAUGUACUCGACCUGUUUUCUGGUGAUGCACUUCAGCAGGGGGGUCGAGUAUCCUCUUUGGUACAAGUGUUCGUUGAUCAUGGUGUACCGGACACACUGUUGUUUCAUCGCUUUUUCUUGCUUUGGCUUGCAUGUGUCGUUCUUCAGGUACUGGAUGAUGGAUGUCAUCCAGUUUUUUGUCUCGGCCUCGGCCUCGUCUAUUGCAAGACAUUCGGUUUUGGACACACUGGGGUACCUUAACCAUAUUUGUAUGACCUAUCUCUGGUGGCUCUUCUUCUCGGUGACUGAUAGCUUAGACAAGAUGUCAGCCCUUUUGUUGUUCUCCCUCAGUAUGUGUUCCAAGGGUGCUUUGUUGAAACAGGCGAGACUGUUUUUGGCCGCGUGGUAGUACCGUUGCAGUAGAGGCUCCUUCACCUCGAAUUCUCCAUUGACCUGGCCGACCAUUACCUGGGAGUCGAUUUUGCAGGUAACCUCGCGUGCUUCCAUGUCGUAGGCUAGGUUCAGCCCAGUGAGCAAGGCCUCGUACUCGGCCUGGUUGUUGGUCGCUCGAAACCUGAACUAGAGUGCUUGCUCUAGGAGGAGGUCGCCCGACCCUUCCAGGACUACUCCUGCACCACAGGCCGUUUUGUUUGAUGAGCCGUCCACGUAGAGCGUCCAUCCGCCCAAGAGGGUUGGCAGUGGUGUCAGUUUGGCCGAGAAGUCGGUCAGGCACUGAGAUUUGAUGGCGCCCCUCGGUUCAUAGCGUAUGUCGAACUCGGACAAUUCAACCGACCAACCUAUCGUUCUCCCUGCAAGGUCAGGUUUAGAUAAAAUUUUGAAAAUGGGAUAAUCGAUCCUUACAAUUAUUGAGUGGUUUUGGAAGUAGGGGCGCAUUCGUCUUGCUGUGAGGACUAGGGCGAGAGCCACCUUCUCGAUCAUCUGGUAUCUCAUCUCGGCCGUGUGGAGGGUUCGGCUAACGAAAUAUACCGGUCGUUCCUCGCCCUCGGCCUCCUGCACCCAAAGCAGCACUGACUGCUUCUUCCGAGACCGCCAGAUACACCAGGAUUGGGUGGUCGGGUCUCGACUUCAGAAUGACAGCUGGGGAUGUCAGGAACUCCUUGAAUUGUUUGAAGAUUUCUUCACAUCGGUCGUCAUAGCUGAAUUUGGUGGCCUUCCGAAGCAGCUGGACCAUCGUCUUCUCGGCCAGACGGGGGACGAACCUGGAGAGGGUGAUCAAGCGCCCUAGGAGUUGUUAUACCUCCUUGAUGUUCUUCAAACUUCUCAUGCCAGGUAUGGCUUGACAUUUGUCCGGGUUGGCCUCUAUCCCCUGGUAGGUGAGCAUGAAGCCUAGAAACUUCCCUCUCUCAACCCCGAAUGUACACUUCUCGGGGUUGAGCUUCAUGUUGUUCGAAAGAGUCGGACUUUACGACUAUGUCGUCCACAUAUACCUCUACCGCUCGGCCAAUUAGGCAUUUGAAGAUUUUGUCCAUGAGGCGCUGGUAGGUCGCCCCCGCGUUCUUGAGGCUGAACGGCAUGACCUCCUAGUAGUAGUUGGCAUCGACCGUCUUCUCCUUGUCCCUGGGGUGCAUGCUUAUCUGGUUAUAGCUAGAGUAAGCGUCCAGGAAGCUCAGAAUUUUAUGGUCGGCCGCCCCAUCCACCAGGCGGUCGAUUUUUGGGAGUGGAUAGGUAUCCUUCGGACAUGCGAUGUUGAGGUUUUUGUAAUCGACUUACAUCCUCCAAUUGUCGUUCGGCUUGGUGACCAUGAUGACAUUGGCCAGCCAAGUCGUGUAUCGGGCUCUCGUAUGAAUCCGACCGACAGAAGCUUCUCGGCCUCUGCCUUUGCUGCUAGGCGUUUUUCAUCGCCCAGGUCCCUCUUCUUCUAGGAGAUCGGUCAGGCUUCUUUAAAUAUCGACAGUCGAUAGGUGAUGACGUCCGGGCUCACCCCCAGCAUGUUGGCUGGUGUCCAUAAGAACAUGUCCAUAUUUUUCUUUAACGCGACAUGCAUGAUCUCGGCCUCGGCCGUAGCCAUGAUCGUCCCUAUAGUUGUGCUGUGUUCUUCGUCUAGGAGGGGUACCCUCCUCAGCUCUUCUCUUGCCUCCAGUCUAUCCUCGGUCGCCCGGGGAUCGAGGUCUACCAACACAAGGGUUGGCUCGACUAACAUGCCUCCCUGGGUGAGCGGUCCUUUCGGGAGGACUUUCUCUUAGGAGAGUGUCGUUCCUUAAGGGCUCCCCACGGAGGCUCUCGACAUAGCACUCUCGUGCCUCCUUCUGGUCUACGUGGACCGUAAGGAUGUCUCCCGUUUUUGAAGGGAACUUCAUUGCCAGGUGAGGGGUCGGUACGAUGGCCAUCAUCCGGUUGAUGAACGGUCGGUCGAGGAGGAUGUUGUAGAAGGUAUUGGCAUUGAUAACCAUAUACCGAAUCUUUAUAGUCUUGGUGUUCUUCCCCUCGCCAAAGGUGGUGUAGAGCUCAAUGUAGCCCUUGUUACCCACCCUCUCACCCGAGAACCCGACUACAUGGUCGUCGUAAGGCAUCAUCUCGGUCUCGGCCAUCCUCAUGGCCUUGAACGUUUUCUAAUAGAGGAUGUCUAUUGAACUUCCUUGGUCCACGAGGGUCUUCUGGAUGGUGAAUUGGUCUAUAUCGACCGAUAUUGCCAUCGGGUCGUCCUGUUGGCGAUAAUCCACGCCCUUGAAGUCCUCGCCCGUGAAGGUGAUGGGUGGCAUCCUUGGUCGGAAUGCCACCGCAUUCACCUGGUGCACCGCUUGCAGGUGUUUCUUCCGAGCGCUGUAGGUGCUCCCUCCCCCGGCGAAGCCGUCGGCUAUGGUCUUGAUAACCUCUCGGUUACCUCUUCUUUCGACCUCCUUGGGAGGAUCGUCCCUCCUAGGCUGUCGGUCGUCUCUGUGAUCUCGGUCAUUUCGACCACGUUGGGGUGACCUCGUUCGCCUAGGGGGUUCCGCCCGGCAGGAUGGGUCUCGGCCGUUCCUGACGAAUCGACAGAGGUGCACUGCCUGGAUAAGUUCCUCGAUCUUAUCCUUCAGAGCCUGACACUCCUCGGUCGAGUGCCCGCUGUUUUGAUGGUACCUACACUGCUUCCUUGGGUCGGCAUUGUUUGGGUUGGCCACUUUCCUUGGAGGAGGGAUCAACUCGGCAUUGAGAGCCUCGUCCAGAAUCCUUCCCCUCUCAACCGUCAAGGUGUGUAUCUCGAGAACCGGAUUGGUCAGUCCCAGUUGUCUCUGCGUCGGUCGUUCCUUUGACUCGGCCGACACUGGCGUUCUUUCUCCUCCUUGUUCUUUUCUCCACUAGCCUCGGCACGGGCCUGGUUACGGAACUCUCUAAGUUCUUCCUGCUGCAUGUACUUAGCAACUCUCUUCCUCAGCUCGUCUAGGCUGUCGGCCGGCUGCAUGCACAACUUGUCAGCAAAGGGCCCUGCACAUAGGGUUGUCAGCAUGUAAUGCAUGGCAAUGUCCGGGCUCAGAUUCCGGAUGCUCAUUGCCACCUUACUGAACCUAUCAACAAAGGUUCUCAGGGACUCUCCCUUCUCCUGGCGGAUUCCCACCAGGGCGAUGGAAGUCAGGUGGUGCGGUCGGCUGGUAGCGAACUGGGUCUCAAACUUCGUCACGUGGGUGGCAAAGCUAUCAAUGGAGUUGGGUGAGAGCUUGGUAAACCAGCUGAGGGUUGCUCCCUUCAACGAUGUGGGAAACACUCGACACAAAACUGCAUCGUCCGAGGUGUAGAGACUCAUAUGGGUGGUGUAAGCGUCCAUAUGCUCAUCGGGAUCGGUCGAUCCGUCAUAUCAGUCUCGGUUGAAACCCUUCCACUUGUCAGGUAGUGGAACUUCAAUAAUGGUGUUGGUAAAAGGAUGUCGUCGGGUCGAGUCGACCGUCACGGUCGUCUGGGCGAACCUGACCAGGCAUGACUCGUUGUCCAUCUCGAUCUCCUGGGGAGGGAGUCUGUCCCUCGUCCCUUCGGUCCACCUUGGGUUGGGGGGAGAGGUGUAGGACCUACUGACAACAUUGGUUGGUACAACAGAGGGUCCUCCCUCCCCCAGCUUCUUUUUCAUGUCUUCGUUCUCCCUGCAGAGAACUUGCAGCUCCUGCUUGUUCUUCUGAGCAGUCUCCUCGGUCUUUCUCUUCAUCUCGGCCAUCUCUCUUUGGAGAGACAACAACAACACCGUCUGGUCGGCUUCAGUCAUUCUCUCCAUACUUCUAGUUGAGACCAUCUACUUUCUUUUUUCAGCUAGUUUCUCUCGGCCCCACGGUGGGCGCCAAUUGUUCCUGUUAGGGACAUGAGAACUAUUGAAGUCUUUGUCUUCCCCCUUCGUUCGGGCAAGUUGCUGGGUGCUUGACUGGGGUCCUUCUCGUCUUCGUGCUUCUCCUUCGGCUCUUCGUCUCGAGUGAACACCGAAUUGGGGGUACCUGCGAAAGGCACUCCGAUGCUCAAGUUAGUAAAGCGGGUGAUCAGUAUUCGAGUAGGUGCACGGUAAUAAAUGACAUAACUUUCUCCUUGGGAUGUGUGCUAUUUAUAUUAUUUUAAUGAACUUACCUUAUUGGGCAUGAUUAGUGGAAUGGAUUUCACUUAUGGGUGUAUUACCUAAUCCUUAAUGAUGGAUUAACUUCACUGACCUUAGUUUGAACUUUAAUUGAUGUAUGGGUCGGCCGGCUAGGCCGACCGUGGCGAUUUCCCUCGUCUCAGCCAAGCUUCUGUGGUCUCGGCCAUGUUUUCGUGGUCUCGGCCAAGUUUCCUCGGUCUCGGUCAGCAAGCCCGAGUCUCGGUCAGGGUGACCGGAUCUUUGGUCUCGCCCAUACCAGUACAGUUUCAAUGCAAUAAUGUUUUGCUAUAAAUAUUAAAUUGAUUGUCUUCUUAUACUAGUACUUCUUAUUAUAGUUGUCAUUGUUUUUUAUAACAUAAGAUUGUGUUCUAAGAAUACUGAUAUUGGGGUUUCUAAAGUCCCUUUGCCUCACAAAGUUGUCAUAUUGAUUAUGGUGCAAACAAAAAGUUGAAGAUAAUAUUUUGAAUGAUGUUUACAGGUAGCUUAAGUAUGAGCAAAAAAUGGUGAAGGAUAAUCCUCAUCCAAAGUUAUCGCAAGUAUGAGCAGAA